rnacentral:rRNA from 1 species
UACGGGGGGAGCAAGCGUUGUUCGGAUUUACUGGGCGUAAAGGGCGCGUAGGCGGCCACCGCAAGUCGACUGUGAAAUCUCCGGGCUUAACCCGGAAAGGUCAGCCGAUACUGCGGGGCUAGAGUGCAGAAGGGGCAACUGGAAUUCUCGGUGUAGCGGUGAAAUGCGUAGAUAUCGAGAGGAACACCUGCGGCGAAGGCAGGUUGCUGGGCUGACACUGACGCUGAGGCGCGAAAGCGUGGGGAGCGAUCCGG